rnacentral:rRNA from 1 species
UACAGAGACUGCGAGCGUUAUUCGGAUUCACUGGGCGUAAAGGGUGCGCAGGCGGCCAAGUGUGUUAGGCGUGAAAGCCCGUGGCUUAACCUCGGAAUUGCACCUAAAACUACUUGGCUAGAGUACUGGAGAGGGAAACGGAAUUCACGGUGUAGCAGUGAAAUGCGUAGAUAUCGUGAGGAACACCAGAGGCGAAGGCGGUUUCCUGGACAGUUACUGACGCUCAGGCACGAAAGCGUGGGGAGCAAAAGGG